UACGUAGGGUGCGAGCGUUAAUCGGAAUUACUGGGCGUAAAGCGCGUGCAGGCGGCCUUGCAAAUCGGACGUGAAAUCCCACGGCUCAACCGUGGAAGUGCAUUCGAAACUGCGAGGCUGGAGUCCUGGAGAGGAAAGUGGAAUACUCGGUGUAGAGGUGAAAUUCGUAGAUAUCGAGUGGAACACCGGUGGCGAAGGCGGCUUUCUGGACAGGUACUGACGCUGAGACGCGAAAGCGUGGGGAGCAAACAGG
rnacentral:rRNA from 1 species